AUUGAACGCUGGCGGCAGGCUUAACACAUGCAAGUCGAGCGGGGUGAUGGUGCUUGCACUAUCACUUAGCGGCGGACGGGUGAGUAAUGCUUAGGAAUCUGCCUAUUAGUGGGGGACAACAUCUCGAAAGGGAUGCUAAUACCGCAUACGUCCUACGGGAGAAAGCAGGGGAUCACUUGUGACCUCGCGCUAAUAGAUGAGCCUAAGUCGGAUUAGCUAGUUGGUGGGGUAAUGGCCCACCAAGGCGACGAUCCGUAACUGGUCUGAGAGGAUGAUCAGUCACACUGGAACUGAGACACGGUCCAGACUCCUACGGGAGGCAGCAGUGGGGAAUAUUGGACAAUGGGCGAAAGCCUGAUCCAGCCAUGCCGCGUGUGUGAAGAAGGUCUUCGGAUUGUAAAGCACUUUAAGUCGGGAGGAAGGGCUGUAGGCUAAUACCUUGCAGUUUUGACGUUACCGACAGAAUAAGCACCGGCUAACUUCGUGCCAGCCGCCGCAGUAA
rnacentral:rRNA from 1 species